GAUGAACGCUGGCGGCGUGCCUAAUACAUGCAAGUCGAGCGAACGGACGAGAAGCUUGUUUCUCUGAUGUUAGCGGCGGACGGGUGAGUAACCCGUGGAUAACCUACCUAUAAGACUGGGAUAACUUCGGGAAACCGGAGCUAAUACCGGAUAAUCUUUUGAACCGCAUGGUUCAAAAGUGAAAGACGGUCUUGCUGUCACUUAUAGAUGGAUCCGCGCUGCAUUAGCUAGUUGGUAAGGUAACGGCUUACCAAGGCAACGAUGCAUAGCCGACCUGAGAGGGUGAUCGGCCAGACCGGAAACGAGACACGGUCCAGACUCCUACGGGAGGCAGCAGGAGGGAAGCUUACGCAAUGGGCGAAGGCCUGAAGGAGCAACGCCGCGUGAGUGAUGAAGGUCUUCGGAUCGUAAAACUCUGUUAUUGGGGAAGACCAUAUGUGUAAGUAACUGUGCACAUCUUGACGGUACCUAAUCAGAAAGCCACGGCUAACUACGUG
rnacentral:rRNA from 1 species